rnacentral:rRNA from 2 species
UGGGGAAUAUUGCACAAUGGAGGGAACUCUGAUGCAGCGACGCCGCGUGAACGAAGAAGGCUUUCGAGUCGUAAAGUUCUUUUAUAUGGGAAGAUAAUGACGGUACCAUAAGAAAUAGCCCCGGCUAACUACGUGCCAGCAGCCGCGGUAAUACGUAGGGGGCUAGCGUUGUCCGGAAUCACUGGGCGUAAAGGGUUCGCAGGCGGAAAUGCAAGUCAGGUGUAAAAGGCAGUAGCUUAACUACUGUAAGCAUUUGAAACUGCAUAUCUUGAGAAGAGUAGAGGUAAGUGGAAUUUUUAGUGUAGCGGUGAAAUGCGUAGAUAUUAAAAAGAAUACCGGUGGCGAAGGCGACUUACUGGGCUCAUUCUGACGCUGAGGAACGAAAGCGUGGGUAGCAAACAGG